UACGUAGGGUGCGAGCGUUGUUCGGAAUUACUGGGCGUAAAGGGCUCGUAGGUGGCCAACUAAGUCAGACGUGAAAUCCCUCGGCUUAACCGGGGAACUGCGUCUGAUACUGGAUGGCUAGAGAUUGGGAGAGGGAUGCGGAAUUCCUGGUGUAGCGGUGAAAUGCGCAGAUAUCAGGAGGAACACCGGUGGCGAAGGCGGGUCUCUGGGCCGAUACUGACGCUGAGGAGCGAAAGCGUGGGGAGCGAACAGG
rnacentral:rRNA from 1 species